UAGCAUAUCAAUAAGCGGAGGAAAAGAAACCAACAGGGAUUGCCCUAGUAACGGCGAGUGAAGCGGCAACAGCUCAAAUUUGAAAUCUGGCUUCGGCCCGAGUUGUAAUUUGCAGAGGAAGCUUUAGGCGCGGCACCUUCUGAGUCCCCUGGAACGGGGCGCCAUAGAGGGUGAGAGCCCCGUAUAGUUGGAUGCCUAGCCUGUGUAAAGCUCCUUCGACGAGUCGAGUAGUUUGGGAAUGCUGCUCAAAAUGGGAGGUAAAUUUCUUCUAAAGCUAAAUACCGGCCAGAGACCGAUAGCGCACAAGUAGAGUGAUCGAAAGAUGAAAAGCACUUUGAAAAGAGGGUUAAAUAGCACGUGAAAUUGUUGAAAGGGAAGCGCUUGUGACCAGACUUGCGCCGGGCUGAUCAUCCGGUGUUCUCACCGGUGCACUCUGCCCGGCUCAGGCCAGCAUCGGUUCUCGCGGGGGGAUAAAGGUUCCGGGAAUGUAGCUCCUCCGGGAGUGUUAUAGCCCGGGGCGUAAUGCCCUCGCGGGGACCGAGGUUCGCGCUCUGCAAGGAUGCUGGCGUAAUGGUCAUCAGCGACCCGUCUUGAAACACGGACCAAGGAGUCAAGGUUUUGCGCGAGUGUUUGGGUGUAAAACCCGCACGCGUAAUGAAAGUGAACGUAGGUGAGAGCUUCGGCGCAUCAUCGACCGAUCCUGAUGUUUUCGGAUGGAUUUGAGUAAGAGCGUUAAGCCUUGGACCCGAAAGAUGGUGAACUAUGCUUGGAUAGGGUGAAGCCAGAGGAAACUCUGGUGGAGGCUCGCAGCGGUUCUGACGUGCAAAUCGAUCGUCAAAUCUGAGCAUGGGGGCGAAAGACUAAUCGAACCAUCUAGUAGCUGGUUACCGCCGA
rnacentral:rRNA from 1 species